CUCUGCAACAAGAAGUAGAAGGCCUACCGUUCUUUCAGACGAAACAGUCUCCGAUAUUCCUGGUAAACUGUUGGCAAGUCCGCCAAAGUCCUUACGCAAAUUGUCACAGGAAACGGAAAUCAGCCUAGGAAGUGCUCACACAGCAGUAAAA